AGCGUAGACGGCAAGGCAAGUCUGAUGUGAAAACCCAGGGCUUAACCCUGGGACUGCAUUGGAAACUGUCUGGCUCGAGUGCCGGAGAGGUAAGCGGAAUUCCUAGUGUAGCGGUGAAAUGCGUAGAUAUUAGGAGGAACACCAGUGGCGAAGGCGGCUUUCUGGACUGUAACUGACGUUGAGGCUCGAAAGUGUGGGUAGCAAACA
rnacentral:rRNA from 1 species